AAGUUGAUUUAAGAGAGGUAAACAAUGCCUAGGAUUCUUUUAUCACAUGGAUGUUACUUAAUUAGUUGUAGUAAGUUCUGUUUGAGUCAAAUUAUUUAGCAAAGUAGGUGCUAAGAAAUAAAUGGAAUUUGGUUCUUCUAGUGUUUAAUGCCCUGCUUUGGUAUGUAAUACCCAAAGUCAAACAUUAAUGAACAGUUAACAUUUGUGUUUGUUACAUUGUACUUGUAAACAUAAACAAUGAAAAGUGCUUCUUGAUUUCAUGAAUGCUUGAAUUGUGUUGUUUUCCCAGGAUGAUUUUUCUCCCACGAGUAAGCUUCAGCGUUUGCUGGCAGAAUCCCGUCAGAUGGUUACAGAUCUGGAGCUGAGCACCCUGCUCCCCAUCAGCUCUGAGAAUCUCAGCAGCAGCGCCAAAAAUAAUGUGGAAGUCUCAGAAGAGUCAGCUGAAAAAAAUACCCUUUCUCAGUAACUGAAGAAAGCAAAUUCGUGUAUUCAUGGUGAUCAUGGAAGCCGAUUUCUCAUCCGUGUGGAAGGCAGGAAGCAGACAUCAAUACCUACUACUUAACCUUGAAAACAAAAACAGGAUUGUAAUCCUUCGUAAGCAACAUUUAAUACCAAAGGGGAGCAGAAACUGAAAGUUAAUUUUUAAACAUCUAUAUUUUGUUUGUCUUCAGGUUAACCAUUUUCAUGUGUAAGAAAUAUUUUUCAUGUGUAAGAAAUUAGACCUAAUUGUAUAUUAUAUAUAAUAUACAAACUUGGAAUUAUGCUAAGAGAAAAAAAAGCCUUCUCUGUAAAGAUGCACACUACAGUUAAAUACUCGAGAAGCUCUUUAAAAGUGUGAACAUCAAAUAGAGAAUCCAUGCAUAUAAAAUGCUGUUUUAACUAUCUGAUUUUUUAAAAACCUGUGCAUACAUUUAAAUUAUAACCAGUAGCUUAUCAGAGUCAGCUCCAAAUCUAUGAGAAAUAUGUUCUCUUGUGGUUUUUAGCCCUGAACUUUGCUGGGUAAAGACAUAAAAUGAUAUGAUAUAAAAUAUUUUAAACCAGAAACUAUCUCCUGGGUUACUGACAGUCGAGGUCCUUCUGUUCCAAAAGCUGUAGCAGAGCCCCCUCUUGUCUGGGUCAGUAGUAGUCCUGUCAACUUAUACAAACGAAAGCUUGCUGGAAGAUCAAGUUUUUUAUGCAUUUUUUUAUCAUUAAAGACUAAAACAUUUCUGUUUUAACUUGUAAUUUU